AGUGAACGCUGGCGGCAGGCCUAACACAUGCAAGUCGAGCGGCAGCGGGUCCUUCGGGAUGCCGGCGAGCGGCGGACGGGUGAGGAAUGCAUCGGAAUCUGCCCUGUCGUGGGGGAUAACCUAGGGAAACUUAGGCUAAUACCGCAUACGACCCACGGGUGAAAGCGGGGGAUCGCAAGACCUCGCGCGAUAGGAUGAGCCGAUGUCCGAUUAGCUAGUUGGCGGGGUAAAGGCCCACCAAGGCGACGAUCGGUAGCUGGUCUGAGAGGAUGAUCAGCCACCGGGGAGGGGGACCGGCCCCAAGACUCCUGGGGGAGGGCCCAGGGGGAAAUGUGGGACAGGGGGGGGGAGCUGGACCCAGCGGGCGGGGGGGGGAGAAAAGGACUUCGGGGUUGUAAAGCCUUUUUGCGGGGGAAAAAUCGGUCGGGGCUAAUACCCGGGGGGAAUGACGGUAAGGGAAAAAAAAGCACGGGCUAACUUCGUG
rnacentral:rRNA from 1 species